rnacentral:rRNA from 1 species
UACGUAGGCAGCAAGCGUUGUUCGGAGUUACUGGGCGUAAAGAGUGCGUAGGUGGUGCCCUAAGUCUGUUGUGAAAUCUCCCGGCUUAACUGGGAGGGUGCGGUGGAAACUGGGGUGCUUGAGUGUGGGAGAGGUAAGCGGAAUUCCUGGUGUAGCGGUGAAAUGCGUAGAUAUCAGGAAGAACACCCGUGGCGAAGGCGGCUCUCUGGGACAGUACUGACGCUGAGACGCGAAAGCGUGGGGAGCAAACAGG